rnacentral:lncRNA from 10 species
CAACUUGUUAAUGCUGAGGUCAAAAUUGUUCUAGUCAGUUUGUUAGGCGAGGCUAUCCAAUUAUUUCUUGCAGCCCAUCCCCAAUUUCCUGCUUAAGGGCUGGAUAUGUCUCUAACUUUCUGCAUUUUUUUCAGUGUUUCUGAUGGGACUGGACAAGAAAUGGAUAAGCAGCUUUUGAGCAGUAACAUGGCUAAUCAGGAAAAUACUGCUUAUCCAUGAGCUAGGGCCCAAAGGCUGUAUUAUGUGGAGGGCUGUGGUGAAUUUAGUGCUUCGCAUGGUAGGGUCAGAUGAAAGUGAGAUCCAUACAUCCUUCUUCAGCAACUUGUGCCUCUGCUCUGCACCUCCCGCAAUUAACUACUGAAAAAAGAACACAGCUUCACAAAAGAGAUUGUAAAAUCAGGAAGUAUAUCUAAGUCACCUCCAGUAGCCGUAACUCUACCUUGUCCAGUAAAAGGAUAAUUCUGGCAGCUAUUGAAAACAGACUGAAGAGAAGAAAGAAGAUUUGGAGGAAUAUGUAUCCAAGAUUGAUGAUGGUGGCUCAGAUCAGUGCUGCUUGUUGCUGACGUUUCUGCCCAAACAUCAUGAAAUGUGGAGAAGAAAGAACACUCAGAUGUGCCCUGGAGACUUUCCUUUUAUUUUUAAACAGUUUUUUUUCCAUUGGGUUUGACCAACUCUAUAUUCGACUUGAACAAAUCCGAAGGAAAGCUUCCAAUUAUGGGGAACAAGUCCUCUGAAGUGGCUAAAUUCCCACACACACAAAAGAAAAG